rnacentral:rRNA from 1 species
CCAGGAGAGCAUUUCCACCAUACUAACCAUAACACAUCUGAUCUGGGAAUCUAAACAAGGUCAGGCCUGGUUGGUACAUGGAUGGGAGGCCACCAUUCCAUACCACGUGUCUCCGGGU